GGGUCAAGGAGGCUGGGAGAUAUGACUCUGGGGAGAUACCAGAAUGCCAAGAUUCUGGAAGACACCACCAACUCCAUGUCUGGAUGAUAGGGCCUCCAUGAAACAAUGUUCAUCUAAGAAACAGCUAUCUAUGCAUAGGAGGUUGGGAACAAGGAUUCCUGAACUGGUUCAGGAGGAGAAAUUGAGGCACAGGAGAACCUCGAUGACCUACCUAUUUAAGGAAGAAGACCCUUAUGAAUAGGGUUGAUAGAAGAGAUCUUUAUCUUCUGGGAGAUUGCUAAUUAGCUUAACUAGUCUAUUAGUUAACUUGACUACUAACUAGUAGUCUACUGGUUAACUACUAUUCUACUAAUUAACUAGACUAUUAAUUAGCUUAACUUAGUAAAAUCAUAAAGUUCUUAUUUGGGGGGAGGAUUCAAGAAUGUAGUAGGAUGGAAUUAUAUGGGAUAGGAUGAAAUGGAAUUGAUUGGGAUAGGAUAGGAUAGGAUAGGAUAGGAUAGGAUAGGAUAGGAUAGGAUAGGAUAGGAUAGGAUAGGAUAGGAUAGGAUAGGAUAGGAUAGGAUAGGAUGGAGUGUAAGGUAAUGAGAUGAGUAGAAUAGGUAAUAGACAUGAGAUGAAGAUAAUAGAAAAACAUGAUAUAUGAUGAGAUAAUAAGAAUAGGAUGGGUUGAAAUAGAAUGGGAUGGGAUGACAAGGGAUAAGAUAGAAAGCAAUGGUAGGGAGUACAAUCCAACUAUAUUAUUUAGAGUUUUUUGAGUUCUUGAAGCCAAAAACAGCCAAGAAGUCUGUGCUCUCUGAGUCAGAUAGCUCAUUUUCAUAGCCCUAUCUAUACAAAUGCCAUCGAAAUUUAUGAAACAAACUUCCAUCUCUUUGGCUCCAGGUUGGCCAUGUUGGUGCUUUAUUUGUGUCUCUCUAGAAUCCUCCUUAUCUUUAGAGAAAACCCCAGCCCAAUUCUGAUAGCAAACCCUGCCCCAUAGGAUGAAACUGAACCAUGUAAGAAAAUGCCCAGGGACAAGCAAGGAAAGGAGGGACAAGAGUUAAGCCUGGACCUGUUCUAUUUGUUUUCUUUACUCUAAUAGGCUGCUACACCCUAGGUAUAGCAAUAAAGGAGUAAAAACCCCAGACUUGGCAUUUGAAGACCUGAGUUCUAGUCACAGAUCCAUCAGGUAUUAGCCAUGCAACCUCAGUUUCCUCAUCUACAAAAUAGAGACAAUAAUAUUUACACUGCCUUCCUCAAAGAGCAAUUAUGAUUACUCAAUGAUAUCACAAAUAUAGAUCCCAAUGUAACUGUAAAGUAUUACACAAAGGUCAAAUUCACACGAUUGUUCAUCUAGGCUCUUCAGCUGCCGCUUUAAAAGCCACCAGAUCAUAGAUGGCCUCUGAAGGAGGUACUUGGGUUCUUCUUGACUCUCUUGAACAAGGAGACAGUUGUGAGAAUCACUGAAUCUCAAGUUGGAAGGAAUGUUGGUGGCCAUCUACUCACAACCUGAGAAAGGAUGCCUUCUACUGCAUUCCUCACAAGCGGUCAACCAGUCUUUGCCUGAACCCCUCAAAUGAAGGUGAACUUACUGUAAACUCCUGAACAGAGCUUUAUAUAUUACCAGGGCACAGCAACUAGAUUUUCAUCAUAAGGUGUUGAAAUAGGAAUGGAAUAGAUAAAAAUUACACCACUCCAACGUUUAGAAAAAUUGAGCUUUUCAAAGGAAUAAUGAACUGGAGGAACUCCAUGCAAACUGGAAUGACCUCCAGGAAUUGAUGCAGAGUAAAAGGGGCAGAACCAGGAGAACCUUAUACACAGAGAUGGAUACAAUGUGGCACAAUCAAAUGUAAUGGACUUCUCUACUAGCAGCAAUGCAAUGAUCCAGGACAAUUCUGGGGGGCUUAUGAGAAAGAACACCAUCCACAUUCUGAGGAAGAAUUGUGGGAGUAGAAACACUGAAGAAAAACAACUGCUUGAUCACAUGGGUUGAUGAUGGAAUGAAUGGGGAUGUAGACUCUAAAGGAUCACCCUAGUGCAAAUAUUAAUAAUAUGGAAAUUGGUCUUGAUCAAUGACACAUGUAAAACCCAGUGGAAUUGCUCCUCGACUGGGGGGCAGGGGGAGAACAUGAAUCAUGUAAACGUAGGAAAAUAUUCUAAAUUAGUUAAUUAAAUAAAAAUUUUCAAUAAAAAAAGAAAAAAUGGGCUUUAUGCCUUGUGAACAAGACUAAUGUAUUAAAAUAGGAAGCUCCCAGGUGACCUGCUCUAUCCCUUCACCCCCAAAACCCAAUCCUAGGUGAGUUCCCACCCAGUGGUAGCUUCUGCCACUGGAGACUGUCUCUUUCCAUCAUGACAUACUGCUCGGGGGUGAUCUCUUCCUCUCACCUGAAUUUGUCUCAAAAGUUGUUUUAAGGAUGCCUUUGAAAUGAUGAAACAGAAGCAUACUUUGAGAAGCUUCCCUUGAGUGAAAUUGCUUAGGCUUGACUCAGUGAUUAGAGCAGCCCAUUCCACUUUUAGGAUGGCCCUAACUGUCAGAAAGUUUCCCCUUAUAUCAAGCCUCAAUCUGUUUCUUUGUGACUUUUACUCAUUGCUCCGACUUCUGCCUGCCCGGGAUCUGAGAAGAUCCAGUCCAAAGUCAGCAAGAGGUCAUAGCUGGAGACACUUGAAGGCAGGUAUCAUGUCUGCCCCAAGUAUGCUCCGGCUUCCUUUAACAAUCGAUUCUCUUUGAUGUGGCGUGACUUCAACGCCUUCUGCUGGCCUGGUUACCCUCUUCUGAAUGUCCUUGCGCUUAUACAAAUAAAAAAAGAUCCCACCUCCCCGCUCUAUUCAAGCCCGGCGGUAAUGGGGGCUGCGUGAGUGGGGAGGGUGGGAGAGAGGGGCUGAGGAGCUCUGCAGGUCUAUGUACAUGGCUCCUCAUCCAUGGUAUCUGUGUCUAUCUGUGUGUCCAUCACGUCUGCUUUUAUGCUUGUUUCUUAGUGUGCGGCUGUAUCUCUCUGCAUGUCUGGGACUUACGAUGAUAGCAAUAAGAGUAAUAGUAAUAACUACAAUUUCUAUCGUGCUUUAUUUAAAGCUUACAAGGGAAGCUUUUGUCUCUGCAUAUCGAUGCCCGAAUCUGUUUGGGCGCCUGCCUGCUGUGUACUCCUUCGCUCCUCCAAUGUUUGCCACAAGCUAAAAGUCUAGCUUAAGUUGUACAGCUUGACGCUGUUGCCCCUCUGGCCUGACCUACGCAAACACACGCCCGCUAUGGCUGCCGUUUGUCCAUCUGCUUCUGACAGCUUGAGAAAGUCGCUUCCUAUCUGAGUUCAUGAGAGCAGGAAGUGUGAAGAAAUGAAAAGAACACCAGACCCCGACACCAGAUGCCAAAAUAUAUACAUCUUCUCAGUAGACAGAAGGGGGAAGAUGCUAAUAUGGGCUCUACAAAGAUCAUCUAAUUUGAUCCCCACAACAACCCUUGAGAGGUAAAUGCUAUUAUUAUCUAUAACUUAUUAUAUAGAUAUAUAUUAUAUAGAUAAUAUAGAUAUUAUCUAUAUCUAUAACUGAGGAAACUGAGGCAAAUGGGUUAAGUGAUUUGCCUUGGUUACAAGUCUAGUACGUAUCUUGAGGGAGAAUUUUAACUCAGAUCUCCCUGACUGUAGAUGCCAACAGCUAAAGUAACUACUGAAGGGGCAAGUCACUUUGUCACUUGAUCAAUUGGUCAUAGAAUCAUGAAUUUAGAAUCAGAAAGGGUUUCUGUUACCCUCACUUAAACCAACUCCUUCCUUCUUACAGAUAAGGUUCAGUGACUUCCCCAACUAUGCUCACACUAAAUGUCAGAGUCAAGAUUUGAACCAAGUCCUUUGUAGUGCCAUCAUGCCCUCUUCACUGUACCAGGUGUGCAUUUGCUCAACUACAUCAUUGUAGUGGAAUGGAGUUGUUUGGGGUAUAAGGGAAGCCUUAGUACCAUUUGAGGCUGAGCAUACUGGGAAACUGACUAGAAAGUAAAAAAGCAAAAUCUGUCAAUGAAACUUUUUUUUAAAGAAAAAAGUCAGGAGAGUAGGUUUUUAAUCCCAACUCAGCAACAGACUAGCUGUGAGACCUUGGGAGGAAUAAUUCAACCUCAUUUUCUUUACUUACAAAAUGAAGUAGAAGACAACUAUAUGAUCUUUUGUGUCUCUUCUUACUCUACCAUAAAAUUCUUUUUUUAAUGAAUUAAAAUUAUACAAUUAUUUUUAUUUUAAUAACAAAUUUCCACAUAAGUUUUCCAAAGUUAUAUGAUCUGAAUUGUCUCUCUCCCUUCUCCCCCUCAGAGAUAGCAUGCAUCUACCAUAAGAUUCUAAAGAACUAGUUCACAAGGGGACCAAUUUCAAGUAACUGCAAAAGAUGGGGGAAAGCAUGAGCAAGAUUUCCUUAAACUCGAAGUAUGACUUUAGGCAGUUCAUUUAUUUGCCUGAUCUGGGCCUCAGUUUCUCCAUUUAUAAAAUGAGGGAAUUGAUUAUCACUUUAGUUCUUUCAGUUUUAUAGUCCUGUAAUUCUAGUCCAGUGAUUCUUUUUUUUUUUAAUCCUUGCCUUCUGUCUUAGAAUCUAUAUUAAGUAUUAGUUCCAAAGUAGAAGAAUGGCUAUAACUAAGUAACUGGGGCUAAGCGACUUAUCCCAGGGUCAUACAAGUAGAAAGUAUCUGUGGUCACAUUUGAAUCCAGGACCUCACAACUCCAGGCCUGGCUUUCUAUCCACUGAGCCAUCUAGCUGCCCCUAGUCCAAUGAUUCCUAACAUUUUUUUUUAUAUCCUGACCCCCUUGAAUUGUCUGGUGAAGCCUAUAAGCAACUUUUUAGAAUAAUAUUUUAGUAUACAUAAAAUAAAAAACAUAAGAUUAUAAUAGAAAGCAAUUGUACUAAAAAUAUAGCUAUAAAAGAAUCCCUAAAAUUCUUGAACCCUUACUCCAGUCACCAGGACUAAAAGAAAUAUAUUUAAAGUGACUGAGAAAAUUAUUCUCAUCUGACUAAGGAAAAGACAAGUUUAAGGUUUCAUGGCUUUGUAAAUUGUAGUAAUGAUUCAGAGUGCUAAGAAGCACUCAACACCUUCCAUCAGAAUAGUUUGGAGGCCAUAUUAAUGAGCCUUUAUAUAGCAAAGGUCUUUUUUUCAUAAUACCCCAGAUACCCUGGUUUUUACCGGAUAAGUAGUAUAAAAAUUACUAUCCCCAUUUUACAGAUGAGAAAUCUGAAGCUCCCAGAGAUGCCUUAACUCUAGUCAGAGAGCUAAAAAGCAGAUUCUAGAGGAUCAUAGAUCUGGGACUGGAAAGAAACCUCAGGGGGUCCUGUACCCCAACCCUCUCAUUUUAUAGUCUGAGAGAGUUUAAAUGUCUUACCCCAAGGUCUCUCACAGGUAGCAAACAUCAGAGACAAGAUUUAAACCCAGCUCCUCUAACUUGAAGGUCAGUCCUCCUUCAAACCCAAUUUUUCUAACUCUGAGAAUCAGAACUCUAGAUUUAAGCGUUCUCUAAGAAAGAUCAAAGGUUGAAGGGAAACCACUAGUAGAUGAAAGCAGCCUUCAACAGCUGUUUACCAAAAUGGACAGAACACUAGAACCAAUCAUACCCCAAAAGACUUCCUUCAAGAUGGCUUGAAAGAAUCAUCCAACUAAAGAAUUAAGCAGUAAAGCCUCAGACACUUCCCAACUGUGGUGACCCUGGGCAAGUCACUUAAACCCCCAUUGUCUAGCCCUUACCAUUCUUCUGCCUUCGAACCAGAGGGAAGGUGAGGGCUUUAAAAAAAGAAAAAAGGAUUAAGCAAUAAUCAACAACUUAAGGUAGGAAGGUAUCUAACACCCCUAGAUAUUUGCAUUUCUUUAAAUCUUGCUCUAACUUUGGAAUAGACAGAAGUCUAUAAGAAGCUGUUUGGCCAACAGUACUUUUUUCCUGAUAGCAUUAUCCCAAGUUGUCCUCAACACACUUGGGAGGAAGUCAACAGAAAUUAUAAAAUCUUCAGAUUUUGGAAUUUAUGGAUUAUCUAAUCCAAUUCCCUCAUUUUGUAGAUAAAGAAUCUUAAAUCCCAAAGAGGUUGAAGUGAUUCAUUCAAGAACUUUUUAGUGGUAAGUAACAGAGUUGGAAUUUUGAACACAGAUCUUCUAACAUCAAAUAUAGUGCUCCUUCCACAAUACCACAUGGUCUCUUCUGGUAAACUCAAACCUCUAUCAUCAGUACAUAACAUACAUACGUGAUAUUUACUACUCCUGCCACCUAGCAUACAUUCAUAUCUAUCCCUGAAUCUAGCACAGUUUCAUGCACAUAAUGGUUGUUAAUAGAUUAGUAGAAGGAAGGAAUGUGCCCAUAUAUCCAAUAUACAUUGCAUAUGUUCAACAUACCAUAAAGCAAUGAAACUAGAUAGGAAAGUGACUUCAAGGAUGGUGUAACAGUAUGCUUUGGUGACAGAGACAAAGAAUCAAUCAAAAGACUUAUAAAAUGUUAUAGUCUAGCUAUAGAUUUCACUGUCACUCUUAUUUUGAAUCCUUAUCUUUCAUCUUGGAAUCAACAAUGAGUACCAGUUCCAAGGUAGAAGAGCAGUAAGGGCUAGGCAAUUGGGGUUAAGUGAUUUGCCCAGGGUCAGCUAGAAAGUACCUGAGGCAGAUUUGAACCCAGGACCUCCCAUCUUUAGGUCUUGUUCUCAAUCCACCAAGUCACCUAAUUGCCCAAUUGCCCCUUUCAGAGUCAGGCAUAGAAAUAAGUGCUGUGAAAACAGUGACUGGACAAAUUUUUUAUAGUGCUUUUGCUAAAAAUUUUGUGUUGAUGGUGAUGGCAAAUGGUGAUGGUCAUGUUGGACUAUAAUGAUGUUUGGUGAUAAUUACGGUGAGUGAGGAUGGUGAAUGGUAAUAGUGAUGAAAUGGGUGAUGUUUGGUCACUGUUUCAGUGGUUGGCAGUGGAAUUAUUGGCUCUUGGUAGUGAUGAGGAGGAUCGCCAGUGAUGUUGACAGUCAUUGGUCAUGAUGGUGGUGAGUGUGGUAAUGGUGGUGAUGAGAUGAUGUUGGGUAAUUGUGAUUGUGGUUUGAGGAUACAAUGGUGGUAAUAGCAACAACAAUAAGGAUAGAGCAGUAGCAACUGUGGUAGUGACAGUGACAAUUAUGACAAUAUUGAUAAUGAAGAAGAUUGUAGUGAAGAUAAUUCUAACGACAAUAUUGAAACCCAUCAUCUUGAUGGUGAUGGCAAGGAAAAUAAAGACUAUUAUUAGAAUGAAGAUGACAAUGAUAUAGAACACCAGGAUGAGGAUGGCAGUGAUGAGGAUGACCAAGAUGAAGAUAUAGGUGAUGAUGACUGUCAGGACUUAGAUACCCAGGAUCUGAAGGGUUAAUGGGAUGAAGAAACUGAUUGGCAGUGAAUGAUAAUAACCAAGGUCAGUAGAGGGCAGUGAAGAACUUUGAGAGGCAAAAUUCAAUUUUGUGUCAAAUUACUUCACUUGGGGUUGUUCCCACCAGACUCAGAGGAAGAGACAAGGGAACACCAAAGAACAAGGUCUAAGAAUCAGGAAGUCAACCAUCUAUAAUAUGAGUCAACACAGAGUUGAGGUCUUUCACUGAGUCAACACUGUGAUAUCCAUGUAGCAGUCCACAAAUAAAUAUGUGAUAGUCCCACUAUCCCCUGCCCUUGUCAGGACACACCUGUAGUUUAGUGCUACAUGUCACAUUUUAGGGAGAGCAUUGAUAAGUUGGAAAAUGUCCAUGGGAAGGCAACCAGGAUGUUGAAGGUCCUUGAGUUAAUGCUAAAUGAGAACCACCAAAAAGAACUGGGGUGUUGAGCCUGAAGAAGACAAGAAUUGAGUAGACAGUAACUGCUCUCAAACAUUUGAAGAGUUCUUAUGCUUGCAGGAGCCCCAGAAGACAGAACAAUUAGGAGCAGUAGAGAAGUUUUAAAAAGGGAAGAUUUCAACUUGAUGUAAUUCAGUUUAUCAAGGCUGCUAACAGCCUCCUUUACAAGAUGCCCUGUAAAGAAAAAUUCCCUAAGAAUUAGAUCUAUCUAAAAUAUACUGGGUCUAUGUUGAAAGAGCUGAUAAGUUCCCCCUCGUGUGAGGUCUUUAAGCAAAGGAUGAAUGAAUGACUAACCACUUGUCAGAUGUGUUGAAGAGUGGACUCUUUUCCAAUUUCAAUUCAACAAACAUUUAUUUAAAGUCUAUUAGGUAGGGGAUAGCUAGGUGACUCAGUGGAUUGAGAGCCAGAUCCGGAGAGGGGAGGUCCUGGGUUCAAAUUCCUAGCUGUGUGACCCUGGGCAAGUCACUUAUCACCACCCCCAUUCCCUAAUUCUUAUCAUUCUUCUGCUCUGGAACCAAUACAAAGUAUUGAUGCUAAGACAGAAGGUAAGGAUUUUGUUUUUUUAAGCCUAUUAGGUAUCAGGGAUACAACAAAAGCCAGAGCCUCUGCUUUCAAAGAGCUUAUUAAGAAUGAACAUGAAAAGUAUGGAUAAGUACAAUGUAUAUACUGAACAAGGGUAGGGCAUCUCUAAGAUUGGUGGUACUUAAGCUGAGAUGGGGUUCCAAGAAGUUUUGGGUAUCCCAGGCAUGAAGCCCAGGCUGUGGGGGAAGGUAUGGAGGGGCAAGAUGGAAUGUCAUGUGUAAAAGACAACAAAUAAGCCAGUUUGGGUGGGAAAGUAGAUAAAGCAGAUUAUGGACAUCUUUUAAGUGUCAGAAGAAUCUGUGUUUUGCUCCAGAGACACAAAGGGGCAACUGAAGCUUCUUGAAUAGGAGAGAGAUAUGGUCUGACCUAACAUCUACUUCAAUUUGGCAGUUGUGUGCAGAAUGGUUUGGAGAGGAGUGGAGAGGGCCUGGAGGCUGGGAGUCUCAUUAGGAAGCAUUUGUAAUAUAGUUCAGAAGAGAGAAAGAUAAUGAGGGCCAGAAGUACUGAGGUAGCCAAGUGAAUGAACAAAAUGGGAGAUAGGAGAGAUAAUGUGGAGACAAAAUUGACAAGACUUUGCAGCUGAUUAGAUGAGGCAGAUGAAAGUGAGGGACAGUGAAGGAUCUCUGAGUGACUGCAAGAGUGCCUUACCUAGAAACAGUGAAGUUAGGAAAGAGAUGAGUUUGAAGGAAAGAGAAUGAAUUCUACUUUGGAUUUAAGAUGCCUAUAGGAGGACAUCUUAAGUAAAGAUAUCUAGCAAGGCCUUGAUGGUACAGAAUUAAAGCUCAAGCAAAAAAAUGGAAGAUGGAUAUAUAGACCUGAGAAUUAUUCACAUAGAGAUGAUCAUUGAGUCCAGAAAUGAUGAAAUUUACCAAGCCAGAAUAGGAAAAGAAAAGAAAAAUGCCCAGGUGUAAUUAUAAUUAGGGUAUAUCCAGGCCCAAAUGAUGCAAUAUGGAAAGUGAUCCAGCAAAGGUAAUUGAGAAGGAAUGGUCACACCAGGAGAGUGUAGUUUCACUAAUACCCAGGAAGAAGAGAAUAUCUAGGAUGAGGGAGAGGUCAACGGUAUCAAAAUAGUGAAAAAUAUCGAAAUAGUGAAGAAGAAAAUGACCUGAAAAACAACAUAGCAUUUGAAAAACAUUGUAAUCUUGGAGAAACAAGCUUCAGUUGAACAGUAGGGUCAGAAGCCAAAUUUGGGGCCUUGAAAAGUGAGUGGGAGCAAUGACAAACCAUAACUGCAGAGAGCUCAUUAUGAAGCAUGCUAACAAUCUCUAGCGAGAGAAGUGAUGGACCCCAAGAAUAGAUCAAGAUAGUUUUUUUUUUAUCUAAUGACAUAUUGUCAAACUAUGGCACAUGUGCUGGAGCAUGCCAGAGGAGGUGCUCUCUUCCCCCUCCCCAUGUGCUCCAGAGGACAUUUCUCCCAUCCCACCCACCUGUCUGGGAUAAGGGUUCACAUAUGGCAUGAGGUUGCAGUUUGGGCACUCAGUCUCUAAGGUCUCUAAAAGAUUCACCAUCACUGGUCUAAUGCAUGAAUAUGUUUUCUUAACUCUGUAUGAUAGUAACAGGGGUUUGUUUUUCUUGCCUUCUCAAAGGGGGAAAAGGAGAGUUGGAAAAGAGAGAAUUCAGACUGAAACAAAUAUAAAAUUGAAUUUUAAGAGCGGGAAGUGAGAAAUAGAAGCAGAAAGCUCUUUCUAGGAAUGUGGUGGUAAAAGGAAAGUGACAUAGGGGGGGAUGUCAGUAUUGUGAAGAUUAAUCUUUAAGGAUGGGCUAGAUCUGGUCAUGCUUAUAGGGGAAAAGCCAAUCGAUAAACUGAAUAUUUUAAAGAAGGGAGAAGGCAAUUGAAGGGGAAAUUACUAAGAGGUGGAAUGGAAUCAAGGUCCUUGAUUUUGGCAAGGAUGAGAAUCACCUCUUUCUCCAAGACUGAACAAAUGAAGGAGAGAAUGGGGGAAAGAUUUGAGGCACAGUGGUAGGAAAAAAAGAGGGAGCCACCAAAGAUGGCCUGAAUUUUUCUAGAGUGGAAUGAGGCAAGUCCUCUAAUGGGAGAGAGGAAAGGAAUUAGUGUAGGUGAUUUUGAGAGAGAAGAUCUGGAAAAGAUACCAUGAUAAGGAAUCAGAGAAGAGUUAAAAAAGGCUAACAAACAAUAGCAAGAGCCUAUAUUAGAUAAGGUAAGAAAAUUGAUAGUAGAUCCCAUCAGCAUAGUUAUGGAACUUCCUGGGGUAAUUCAUAAGUGGUUGGAGAUGGUAAUCCAGGAUUGGGUUUAACAAGGUGAGAACAGCAAAAGGACAAGAGUAAGAGAUUCAAAGGUUGUGAAGAGGUAUAAAGUUGAACCAGUAAAGAUAGCAUCAUUUCAAAAGGAAGAAAGUAAACCCAAAGCAGAUAAAUGAUGAACUGAGAAAACAGAAAAGGGUGUAGUUACUAGAGAUUGGAGAAUAGGUUUAGUAACAUUGAAAUUCAGAGGCAAAAUGAAAGAAGAGGUUAAGGUGAGAGAGAGAGAGAUGUCCAUUUUGUGGACUGGAAGUACAGGAUGUAUAAAGGGGCUCAGGUAACCAUGAAGAGAGGGGCAACUACCCGUAAUAAUUAUCAAGAGAAAGACUGCAUGGACGAGUAGAGGCAGUGGAAAACAAGUGCCAGGAGAACUCCAAAAGUACCUCCAUCUAAAUUGGCAGCAGACAGCCCCAGCCCCAGGACAAAGCUGAAAGAAGGCUCUCAACUUCAGCAAUCCCAGGAUUCUGAGAAAUUCCGGAGUCUGAUUUAACUUAUCAUUUCUAGGUUUGAGCUUGCCUCAAGGACUUACCACGUUAGGUCAAGAGCUAUAAAUUAAAGGCUGUGGUUAACCUGGUUAUGGGACUCUAAAUGAGCCCCUUCUCCCCAUGUCUCAGCUUGAGCUGGAUCUCUUUUAAAGGGUCAAAGACCCCUUCUCAAAUCUCUAACCAUGCUAACAUUAACUGAACUGAAGAAUUUAGGCCACCCACAGGCUCUGAAUUUAUCAGAUACAUAUGUAAUAUAGGGACUGGCGCACACACUCCCAAAUCCCCAUUCUCCACGACAGCCUGGGUUUCUUGACGAUAGCUAGCUACUUCUCCAAUUGAGGGUUCCAGAGAGUAAUCCUGAGGAGUUGGUUGAGUUUUUUCCCUAAUCAAUAUUGCUUAUAAGCCCCUACUAUUUUACUUCCAAACUUAAUGAUUACCCAUUGAUAUAAAUUAGCCAGCCACACUCAAUUAGCUUCUAGAAAUGAAUGCUUACUAAGGUAGUAGAGUAAGAAAGGAGGCAGCUAGAUGGCUUGGUGGAUAGAAACUGGAGUUGGGAAGACCCAAGUCCAAUCCAUCCUUAGAUACUUACUGGCUGUAUGAUUCUGAGCAAGUCACUUCACCUCUGUUUUCCACUGGAAAAGGAAAUGGCAAAAUGCACUAGAAUCUUUGCCAAGAAAACCCCAAAUGGGGUCAUCAAGAGUCAAACAUGACUAAACGACUGAACAAGAAGAGUAAGACAUGUUCUACCUCCCUCAAAAGAAAACAACAAGCCAACAAUACCAGCAGGGUCACACUCUCCCACAAGUACAUGCAGAGCCCAUGGGAAGAUGAACUUAAAAACUCAAAGAGCUCCUGUAGCAAAAGGGCAAUUUACAGUUCCUGGUGGCUCCAAGUCCUUUUAUCCAUUUGUGGAGUCCUUGGGAAAUUCAUUGGGCAUAAUUGACUUUCUGCUGGGCUCCUGUCAGUGUCUUUAACUUUGUCCUUGUCUCCUAAGGCAAAUUUUGCCUUCAGACACUGCCAUAGUGGGGACACUGUUGGGAAAUCAAUGGGAAGUAGGAACUUUGAGAACUUUUGAAGACUCCUAAAUCUUCCUCUGGACAAGAUAGGGACAAAACGAAGACUUCUGCUCUUCCAAGCAAUUCCCUUUCAGAGUCUCCGCUAGCUUGGCUUCCACCAUUGAGCUGGCCUGCCACUCACUCAAAUAUCUGAGUUCCUAACUGGUUUGCAGUUUUAUUCAAAACCCCUAGAACAUGACUGACCCUGUUCAGCCACUCCUGAUAGACUUCCUGAAGAGUCAGUUAAUGUCAUUUAAUGACUUUCACUCCUUUCAAAGGAAUUACUUUUUACAACUGCUUUUCUAUAUAUUACUUUUUUAAUUCAAUAGAGGUAUCCUCACUUGACUAAAAUAGUUGUUUUAAGGGUGGGGGACCAAUGAUUGAUUCAGUGAACUCCCCACCUUUAUAUAUAGAUAUACAUAAGAAUGCAAAGAGAUAUUGCAGAGCAUUAAACAAAGAAAGUACUGCCUUACUUUUGGCUAGCAGACAUAAGGGACAGACUAAAUUCCAUCUCUCCUUCCCUAUCUUCCUCUUCAGUCUGACCAAAAAGGUAGAUGGGCAGCUAGGUGGCACAGUAAAUAGGGUGCUAGGCCUAGAGUAGGGAAGACCUGAGUUCAAAUCCUGCCUUAGAUGCUUACUAGCUAUAUAUGACCUUGGACAAGUCGAUUAACCUCUAUUUGUCUCAGUUUCCUCAGCUGCAAAAUUGGGAUCAUAAUAAGAACAACCACUUUUCAGGGUUGUCAAAAGAAUCAAGUGAGAAGAACUGUGGGAGCAGAAACACAGAAGAAAAACAACUGCUUGAUCACAUGUGUCAAGGGGAUAUGACUGGGGAUGUAGACUCUUAAAUGAUCACCCUAGUGCAAACAUCAAUAAGAUGGAAAUAGAUCUAGAUCAAUGACACAUGUAAAACCCAGUGGAACUGC